AGGGUGGCACAGUGACACAGACCUGACGCUUUGCAGCUUGUCCUAUUAAAAGAGGGUGACAAAGCCACAUUGAUAAAGGGAUUGUAAACUGCUCUGCCGGAAGUCACACAGUUAUGCGAAACAAUGGGAGCUGAACCACACAAGCUCUAUCUUGUGCCCCUCACAGGGUGCAGUCGCAACAAAUUGAAGGCCCAAAUGGAAAGAACAGCCUGCGUUGGAGAAUUUUAACGACUGAGGUCUCCAUUAAGAGACCAACUGCUACAUAACUCAUAUACAAGGAUCAAUUCUUAUCACCUCUCCAAUAAGUUUUUCAGCCUCCUCAACUUCCAGCUUGAUCAAAAACUAAAGUGGGUCAUAAGUCGCCUGGAUUAGGCAAUUCAGGAAAAUCUAUGCAGGAAACCCCAGUUGCCAUGCAUUCCUAUUAUAGUAGAUACCAUACUUUUAUAUGACUGACAUUACCUACCUUAAAUAAGAGGAAGCAGAACUACCACUGGUGAAAUGGAUGCAGGUGCUUUGGGCCCAGUUACACGAGCUCUCGCACAGAAAGACAUUGAGUGGGGUUGUGCCGACACCUUUCCAGUCCCAUGGUCUCAACAA